rnacentral:misc_RNA from 1 species
GAGAGAGAGAGAGAGAGAGAAUCAGGAAAGGCUUGUAAGCUUUAAAGUUUCUGGGGCUAAAGUGACUGAAUUUGAAACAGGCUUAAUUUUGAGAGGUAAGAAACAGAGAAAAAGGGAAGAUAGAAGAGUGUAAUUUGGCGGAGACUAAAAUGUAGUAGCUGGAAAACGAACGAACACAGAUCAAGGCCAAAUGGGUAUUGUACAAUUAAAGCGGAUAAUACUAAAUUUUGGAGAAUCUAAAGCAGAGGCGAUGAUCUCUACUCCAAAUUCUAUGUUUUCUUUAUGGCUACUGUUUAAAAACAAUAGGAAAAAAAUAAAAAGAGAGGUAAAGUUUGCAGAGCAGAAUGAUAAAAGUUCUUGUUUCUGUGGAAAUGACUAUGGAUCUUGAGAGAGAGAGAG